GACGAACGCUGGCGGCGUGCCUAAUACAUGCAAGUGGGACGCAAGGACACACACUGUGCUUGCACACCGUGUUUUCUUGAGUCGCGAACGGGUGAGUAACGCGUAGGUAACCUGCCUAUUAGCGGGGGAUAACUAUUGGAAACGAUAGCUAAUACCGCAUAAUAUUAAUUAUUGCAUGAUAAUUGAUUGAAAGAUGCAAGCGCAUCACUAGUAGAUGGACCUGCGUUGCAUUAGCUAGUUGGUAAGGUAAGAGCUUACCAAGGCGACGAUACAUAGCCGACCUGAGAGGGUGAUCGGCCACACUGGGACUGAGACACGGCCCAGACUCCUACGGGAGGCAGCAGUAGGGAAUCUUCGGCAAUGGACGAAAGUCUGACCGAGCAACGCCGCGUGAGUGAAGAAGGGUUUCGGAUCGUAAAGCUCUGUUGUAAGUCAAGAACGUGUGUGAGAGUGGAAAGUUCACACAGUGACGGUAGCUUACCAGAAAGGGACGGCUAACUACGUG
rnacentral:rRNA from 1 species